AGGCCAGUAGCUCAAUUGGUAGAGUAUCGGUCUCCAAAACCGAACGUCGUGGGUUCGAUUCCUACCUGGCCUG
rnacentral:tRNA from 2 species